GAUGAACGCUGGCGGCGUGCCUAAUACAUGCAAGUCGAGCGAACGGACGAGAAGCUUGCUUCUCUGAUGUUAGCGGCGGACGGGUGAGUAACACGUGGAUAACCUACGUAUAAGACUGGGAUAACUUCGGGAAACCGGAGCUAAUACCGGAUAAUAUUUUGAACCGCAUGGUUCAAAAGUGAAAGACGGUCUUGCUGUCACUUAUAGAUGGAUCCGCGCUGCAUUAGCUAGUUGGUAAGGUAACGGCUUACCAAGGCAACGAUGCAUAGCCGACCUGAGAGGGUGAUCGGCCACACUGGAACUGAGCCACGGUCCAGACUCCUACGGGAGGCAGCAGUAGGGAAUCUUCCGCAAUGGGCGAAAGCCUGACGGAGCACCGCCGCGUGAGUGAUGAAGGUCUUCGGAUCGUAAAACUCUGUUAUUAGGGAAGAACAUAUGUGUAAGUAACUGUGCACAUCUUGACGGUACCUAAUCAGAACGCCACGACUAACUACGUA
rnacentral:rRNA from 1 species